GUGUGCACACACAUUAAACUGGGACAGCACAGACUAGCAUGGCCCCUGAACAAGGAUGACGCAACUUCAUGACAGGAGCCGUAUCCUUUG
rnacentral:snRNA from 14 species